GCAGUGGGGAAUAUUGGACAAUGGGCGAAAGCCUGAUCCAGCCAUGCCGCGUGUGUGAAGAAGGUCUUCGGAUUGUAAAGCACUUUAAGUUGGGAGGAAGGGCAGUCAGCGAAUACCUGGUUGUUUUGACGUUACCGACAGAAUAAGCACCGGCUAACUCUGUGCCAGCAGCCGCGGUAAUACAGAGGGUGCAAGCGUUAAUCGGAAUUACUGGGCGUAAAGCGCGCGUAGGUGGUUUGUUAAGUUGGAUGUGAAAUCCCCGGGCUCAACCUGGGAACUGCAUUCAAAACUGACAAGCUAGAGUAUGGUAGAGGGUGGUGGAAUUUCCUGUGUAGCGGUGAAAUGCGUAGAUAUAGGAAGGAACACCAGUGGCGAAGGCGACCACCUGGACUGAUACUGACACUGAGGUGCGAAAGCGUGGGGAGCAAACAGGAUUAGA
rnacentral:rRNA from 1 species